rnacentral:rRNA from 1 species
ACUAGCAUAUCAAUAAGCGGAGGAAAAGAAACCAACCGGGAUUGCCCUAGUAACGGCGAGUGAAGCGGCAAGAGCUCAAAUUUGAAAGCUGGCUCCUUCGGGGUCCGCAUUGUAAUUUGCAGAGGAUGCUUCGGGAGCGGUCCCCAUCUAAGUGCCCUGGAACGGGCCGUCAUAGAGGGUGAGAAUCCCGUCUGGGAUGGGGUGCCCGCGCCCGUGUGAAGCUCCUUCGACGAGUCGAGUUGUUUGGGAAUGCAGCUCUAAUUGGGUGGUAAAUUUCAUCUAAAGCUAAAUAUUGGCCGGAGACCGAUAGCGCACAAGUAGAGUGAUCGAAAGAUGAAAAGCACUUUGAAAAGAGAGUUAAACAGCACGUGAAAUUGUUGAAAGGGAAGCGCUUGCGAUCAGACUCGCCCGCGGGGUUCAGCCGGCAUUCGUGCCGGUGUACUUCCCCGUGGGCGGGCCAGCGUCGGUUUGGGCGGCCGGUCAAAGGCCCCUGGAAUGUAACGCCUCUCGGGGCGUCUUAUAGCCAGGGGUGCCAUGCGGCCUGCCCGGACCGAGGAACGCGCUUCGGCUCGGACGCUGGCAUAAUGGUCGUAAGCGACCCGUCUUGAAACACGGACCAAGGAGUCUAACAUCUACGCGAGUGUUCGGGUGUCAAACCCGUGCGCGCAGUGAAAGCGAACGGAGGUGGGAACCCCCCCGGGGUGCACCAUCGACCGAUCCUGAUGUCUUCGGAUGGAUUUGAGUAAGAGCGUAGCUGUUGGGACCCGAAAGAUGGUGAACUAUGCCUGAAUAGGGCGAAGCCAGAGGAAACUCUGGUGGAGGCUCGCAGCGGUUCUGACGUGCAAAUCGAUCGUCAAAUUUGGGUAUAGGGGCGAAAGACUAAUCGAACCAUCUAGUAGCUGGUUCCUGCCGA